rnacentral:snRNA from 1 species
GACAGCAGGACGGUGGUCAUGGAAG